rnacentral:rRNA from 1 species
UGGGGAAUAUUGGACAAUGGGGGGAACCCUGAUCCAGCCAUGCCGCGUGUGUGAAGAAGGCCUUAUGGUUGUAAAGCACUUUAAGCGAGGAGGAGGGUACUGGUAUUAAUACUACCAGGUACUGGACGUUACUCGCAGAAUAAGCACCGGCUAACUCUGUGCCAGCAGCCGCGGUAAUACAGAGGGUGCGAGCGUUAAUCGGAUUUACUGGGCGUAAAGCGUGCGUAGGCGGCUAAUUGAGUCGGAUGUGAAAUCCCCGAGCUUAACUUGGGAAUUGCAUUCGAUACUGGUUAGCUAGAGUGGGGGAGAGGAUGGUAGAAGUCCAGGUGUAGCGGUGAAAUGCGUAGAGAUCUGGAGGAAUACCGAUGGCGAAGGCAGCCAUCUGGCCUAACACUGACGCUGAGGUACGAAAGAAUGGGGAGCAAACAGG